GACGAACGCUGGCGGCGUGCCUAAUACAUGCAAGUCGAACGCAGUGGGUACGGUUGAGGAACACGUGGGUAACCUCCCAUCAGAGGGGAUAACACUUGGAAACAGGUGCUAAACCGAUAUGGAUGGAUAGAACCGGGGGGCAUUAGCUAGUUGGUGAGGUAACGGCUCACCAAGGCCACGAUGCAUAGCCGAUCUGAGAGGGUGAUCGGCCACACUGGGACUGAGACACGGCCCAGACUCCUACGGGAGGCAGCAGUAGGGAAUCUUCGACAAUGGACGAAAGUCUGAUGGAGCAACGCCGCGUGAGUGAAGAAGGUUCUAGGAUCGUAAAGCUCUGUCGUUAGGGAAGCGGUAUCUAACCAGAAAGCAACGGCUAACUACGUGCCAGCAGCCGCGGUAAUAC
rnacentral:rRNA from 1 species